UACGAAGGGGGCUAGCGUUGCUCGGAAUUACUGGGCGUAAAGGGCGCGUAGGCGGAUAGUUUAGUCAGAGGUAAAAGCCCAGGGCUCAACCUUGGAACUGCCUUUGAUACUGGCUAUCUUGAGUACGGGAGAGGUGUGUGGAACUCCGAGUGUAGAGGUGAAAUUCGUAGAUAUUCGGAAGAACACCAGUGGCGAAGGCGACACACUGGCCCGUUACUGACGCUGAGGCGCGAAAGCGUGGGGAGCA
rnacentral:rRNA from 1 species